UACAGAGGUCCCAAGCGUUGUUCGGAUUCACUGGGCGUAAAGGGUGCGUAGGCGGUCGGGUAAGUCUGAUGUGAAAUCUCACAGCUUAACUGUGAAACUGCAUUGGAUACUAUUCGGCUUGAGAGUUGGAGGGGGGACUGGAAUUCUUGGUGUAGCAGUGAAAUGCGUAGAUAUCAAGAGGAACACCAGUGGCGAAGGCGAGUCCCUGGACAACUUCUGACGCUGAGGUGCGAAAGCGUGGGGAGCAAACAGG
rnacentral:rRNA from 1 species